rnacentral:rRNA from 1 species
UACGGGGGGGGCAAGCGUUGUUCGGAAUUACUGGGCGUAAAGGGCUCGUAGGCGGCCAACUAAGUCAGACGUGAAAUCCCCAGGCUCAACCUGGGAACUGCGUCUGAUACUGGAUGGCUUGAAUUCGGGAGAGGGAUGCAGAAUUCCAGGCGUAGCGGUGAAAUGCGUAGAUAUCUGGAGGAAUACCGGUGGCGAAGGCGGCAUCCUGGACCGAGAUUGACACUGAUGAGCGAAAGCCAGGGGAGCAAACGGG